UAUCAUUUAUUCAAUAAACACAAAUGAUACAAACUGGAAAGGCACGAUAUAAAAGCUAAGAGUUCCCAGGAAGAGGGAACGGUCUCCGGGUCCAGUGGGUUAGGACGGAGAAGAGGAGGCUGGAUUUGGGGAUCAGCAUGCUUCGCUUCGAGAAGCAGGGGAGAGGAGACCUACCACAGACACCGGGUGCAACCCCCCAGCAGAGGGUCCUCCUGGAACAUUCCAGCAUUUCUCUUACCAUUCUGUGAGGCAUCGAGCCUGGAGGGCACCCAGGGCUCUGCAGUCCCUACUUUCAGCCGAUGCACACGUCCUAUCGCCCAUGACAGUGUUUUAAACACACACACCAGCAGCCGAGUGUGAAGACGGACAGUGAGGCAGUCUCUGAUUUUCUGUUCUCGCCCCUUUCCAGCCAAUGGAAACCUUUCAUCUGGUGUCUUGCUUUUGCCUUUUAUUCUUCCUUUCUCGCUUUCCAUCACAGACAUCAAUGCAAACAAUUGCGCGCGUGCACACACACGCGCGCGCAGACACACACACACACACACGACAUCAAAGAGCUCUUUUGCAAAAACAUUUUUUUUGCUGGAUCUGCUCAGAGGGAAGGAAAGGCAGAGGAAAGGAGAGAGAGAGGCAAGCCGCCCCAGCUCCUUUUCCUCCCCUUUAAGGCUGCCUGGUUACGGUCCUGGGAAAGAAAACCCCUGCAUUCCUCCCCUUUAAUUCGGUUUAUUGUCGAAGCGCUGGAGCAGCUAAUCCUCACAGACCUGUAGGAGCUGGAGUGGGAGGACCACAAGCACCAUUCUCUCCGAGUCCCGGGGGCUCCCGGAGGCGGCUGGCAGGGCUCUCGCUGCUGGCCUGGCUGUAGUGCAUGGCUGCCCAGCUGCUUGCUCAGGAGCCAGACCGAGUGAGGAGGAGGAAGAUCUCUGAGAAGGGUCGAGGGAGUCAAGCAGGUUCCGUCUUGGCACCCCUGGAAGCUUCAACUCUGGAGGCCAUGGGUCGGAAGGAAGACGAGGACUGCAGUUCCUGGAAGAAACAGACCACCAACAUCCGGAAAACCUUCAUCUUCAUGGAAGUGCUGGGAUCAGGUGCUUUUUCAGAAGUCUUCCUGGUGAAGCAAAGGGUAACUGGGAAACUCUUUGCCCUCAAGUGCAUCAAAAAGUCACCGGCCUUCCGGGACAGCAGCCUGGAGAAUGAGAUCGCCGUGUUGAAAAAGAUCAAGCACGAGAACAUCGUGACCUUGGAGGACAUCUAUGAGAGCUCCACUCACUACUACCUGGUCAUGCAGCUGGUUUCCGGUGGGGAGCUCUUUGACCGGAUCCUGGAACGGGGUGUCUACACAGAGAGGGAUGCCAGCCUUGUGAUUCGGCAGGUCUUGGCAGCAGUGAAAUACCUCCACGAGAACGGCAUUGUCCACAGAGACUUAAAGCCUGAAAACCUGCUGUACCUCACCCCUGAGGAGAAUUCUAAGAUCAUGAUUACCGACUUUGGUCUUUCCAAGAUGGAGCAGAGUGGUGUCAUGUCCACGGCCUGUGGAACCCCAGGCUAUGUGGCUCCAGAAGUCUUGGCCCAGAAACCCUACAGCAAGGCCGUGGAUUGCUGGUCCAUUGGCGUCAUCACUUACAUAUUGCUGUGUGGGUACCCCCCCUUCUAUGAAGAAACUGAGUCCAAGCUUUUUGAGAAGAUCAAGGAGGGCUACUACGAGUUUGAGUCUCCGUUCUGGGAUGACAUUUCUGAGUCAGCCAAGGAUUUUAUUUGCCACUUGCUGGAGAAGGACCCGAAGGAGCGGUACACCUGUGAAAAGGCCUUGAGACACCCCUGGAUUAACGGGAACACAGCCCUCCACCGGGACAUCUACCCGUCCGUCAGCCUCCAGAUCCAGAAGAACUUUGCCAAGAGCAAGUGGAGGCAAGCCUUCAACGCGGCAGCUGUGGUGCACCACAUGAGAAAGCUGCACAUGAACCUGCACAGCCCGGGGGGCCGCCCGGAGGUGGAGAACAGACCGCCUGUGACUCGAGCCUCCGAUGCCUCGAGACCCAGCACCCCUGAGAUCACCAUCACCGAGGCACCCGCCCUGGACCAGAGCGUGGCGCUCCCUGCCCUGCCCCGACUGCCCUGCCAGCACGGCCCCCGGCCCACUGCCCCCGGGGGCAGGUCCCUCAACUGCCUGGUCAAUGGCUCCCUCCGCAUCAGCAGCAGCCUGGUGCCCAUGGAGCAGGGGCGCCUGGCCACUGGGCCGUGCGGCUGCUGCUCCAGCUGCCUGAGCGUCGAGACCAAGGGCAAGUCCUCCUACUGCUCCGAGCCCACGCUUCUCAAAAGGCCAAAAAACAGUAUGUAUUUUCAGCCAAAGCCCGAGGGCCAACCCAGCCCCAGCCUGGGUCUGAAAUUGGCCAAAGGGCCUCUCCCACUGGAGGCAGCUCUGGAGGAGGAAGAGCUCUGGGGUGGGGUGGGGUGGGGUGGGGUGUCAAGGGAAAUGCCUCUGGUCCUGUGCCCACCCCUCAGUGGCUGUGUGAUUUCUCGUUUGCUCAUCUGUAAAAUGGGUUGACGGGAUUACACUUACCGGCUCAGCCUGCUCCAGAGGUCCUGUGAAAGUUUUAUGACACACGGGGAUUAUAAAUGCCUGUGGAGAACUGGGUAGGUGUUAGCAGUGAGCUUAGAGCCCCUGGGCUCCCAGGGCCGGUGUUCGGGGAGGAAGCAGGGAGGCUGCUUCCAUAAAGGCUUGUACUUCCCGAACCUCUUAAAGGGGAAGGCUGGGCGGACGCCACAGGCACAGGGGACUGUCCAGGCCCUUCUUCCUUCCUCCGACUCUGCGUAGCCUGCUGCUCCGUUUCCCUUCCAGAAACUUCAAAUCAGAGGUCAUGGUGCCAGGGAAAGCGGGGGGCAGCUCCCACUGCCGAGUGGGGCAGACUGGAGUCUGUCUGAUCAUGUGAUCCCUGGAGCUCGCCUCUGUGUCAUUACACUUUUCAGGAAAGAUGUUCGGCUCUGCUCUGCCCUUCCAAGCCUGGAGUCCACCCUGCACGGGAGGAAGGGGAGCCAGCCGAGCGGCACCUGGUCGGAAGCAGCAGCCCACGGGGGCAGCCCCUCCGGGAAGGCGGCAGCGUGAGCCCCCAGCCCAGGCCCGGCUGAAGCUGAAGCGGUGGGCGGGAAGCAGUUGGGGCCGGGUCCCCAGGGCUCCCGGGCGGCCGGCUCUGCGCCCCCACCCGCGCCGCGGCUCCACGCAGCAUCCAGAGAGCUCCUGCCCAGUCCGUGUUGUUCAUCGUGAAAGGCUUUGCGGGCUGGCCAGGCUGCGCCACCUUCUCUCGAGCAAAGCCAUACGGGGCAUCACCCAGACUCCCCGCUCAGCACACACUGGCUGCGGCCUCUCCCGUCUCCACCCCCCUGGGCCUGCCCAUCUGCAUGAAUGACAGGCAGCUUUGCGGCCUGCCUGUGAGCUCUCCAAGUUCAAAUCCCCUCUCCCGGAUUAGCGCCCCAGCCGGCCAGCCUACCCCACACCCCCGAACCGCCUGCCUCCCAGCCCCAGGCCCAGAGCAGGACCCCGUGUCCCGGAUGAAGAAGAAAGAAGCCACGACCUGGUGCUGUGAGGAGUGGCUGUCCUGGCCAGCCCCCCCCCUCGAUUCAGCCCAAACUGGAAGGCCCCCUUUCAGCCAGUGAUUCCAAGCCUGUGUCUGCUCUUCUUUCUCUCCCCGAAAAUCCUGAACAUGGGCCGUUGUUCUUGUCGGGCUCUGGUUCUCCUGCCUCCCUGGCUCCCCUGCCCCAUCCUGCUUCAUGCUCUGUGUUGUGCUGAAUAAAAUGGACAUAUUUUUCUCUAUGA